ACCCUUUUACCUCAGUGGUCGAACUUUGGGUUUGGAAGCCACUGGUCGGUGGUUUGAUUCCGCCUUGGCGCA